UUGUGAUUUUACCCAAGUACUGCAUUUCAGACUUUUGUUGACUAUGAGGGCUACUCCAUUCUUCUGAUAGAUUCUUGCACACAGUGGUAUAUAUAAUGGUCUUCUGAAUUGAAUUCACCCAUUCCAAUCGAUUUUAGUUCACUGAUUUUUAAAAUGUCAGUGUUCA